ensembl:lncRNA
ACAAGGAACAAGUAAAGAAAGUAAUGCAAGUAAAGAAAGUAAUGCAAGUAAAGUAACACAGGGAACAAGUAAAGAAAGUAAUGCAAGUAAAGUAACACAGGGAACAAGUAAAGAAAGUAAUGCAAGUAAAGUAACACAGGGAACAAGUAAAGAAAGUAAUGCAAGUAAAGUAACAGGGAACAAGUAAAAAAACUACUGCAAGUAAAGUAACAGGGAACAAGUAAAGUAACACAGGGAACAAGAAAAGUAAAAGUACUGCAAGUAAAGUAACAGGGAACAAGUAAAGAAAGUAAUGCAAGUAAAGUAACAGGGAACAAGUAAAGAAAGUAAUGCAAGUAAAGAAAGUAAUGCAAGUAAAGUAACACAGGGAACAAUAAAAGAAAGUAAUGCAAGUAAAGAAAGUAAUGCAAGUAAAGUAACACAGGGAACAAGAAAAGUAAGUACUGCAAGUAAAGUAACAGGGAACAAGUAAAGAAAGUAAUGCAAGUAAAGUAACAAGGAACAAGUAAAGAAAGUAAUGCAAGUAAAGAAAGUAAUGCAAGUAAAGUAACACAGGGAACAAGUAAAGAAAGUAAUGCAAGUAAAGUAACACAGGGAACAAGUAAAGAAAGUAAUGCAAGUAAAGUAACACAGGGAACAAGUAAAGAAAGUAAUGCAAGUAAAGUAACAGGGAACAAGUAAAGUAACAGGGAACAAGUAAAGAAACUACUGCAAGUAAAGUAACAGGGAACAAGUAAAGUAACACAGGGAACAAGAAAAGUAAGUACUGCAAGUAAAGUAACAGGGAACAAGUAAAGAAAGUAAUGCAAGUAAAGUAACAAGGAACAAGUAAAGAAAGUAAUGCAAGUAAAGAAAGUAAUGCAAGUAAAGUAACACAGGGAACAAGUAAAGUAAGUACUGCAAGUAAAGUAACAGGGAACAAUAAAAGUAACACAGGGAACAAGUAAAGAAAGUAAUGCAAGUAAAGUAACAGGGAAUAAGUAAUGCAAGUAAAGUAACGGAACAAGUAAAGAAAGUAAUGCAAGUAAAGUAACAGAACAAGUAAAGAAAGUAAUGCAAGUAAAGUAACACAGGGAACAAGUAAAGAAAGUAAUGCAAGUAAAGUAACAGGGAACAAGUAAAGUAACAGGGAACAAGUAAAGUAACACAGGGAACAAGAAAAGUAAGUAAUGCAAGUAAAGUAACAAGGAACAAGUAAAGAAAGUAAUGCAAGUAAAGAAAGUAAUGCAAGUAAAGUAACA